rnacentral:rRNA from 1 species
AUGGGGAGCCCGCGCUCGCUCCCUGUGCUCCUCCUCCUCCUCUGCUGCCUCUCAUGGCAGCAGCCGUGGCUCCUCAACGCCCUCCCUCUCUGCACCGACUCCAGGGCGCCGGCGCCGCUGAACGGGACGCUGGGCUUCUGCUCCUACAGCGGGAGCAGCUGCUGCGAUGUCGCCGCCGACGCCGCGCUCAAGAAGCUGUUCGAGGCCAUGAGGGUAUCCGACGCCGCCUGCGCUGCCGUCGUCAAGUCGCUCCUCUGCGCGAAAUGCAGUCCAUUUUCAGCUGAAUUGUUCAACUCAAGCUCAAAGAUUCGGAUGGUUCCACUUCUGUGCAACUAUACCUCUUCCAGAGGUUCUGCUCAGUCAAAAGAUUCCACUCAAGAUUACUGCAAACUAGUCUGGGAGACCUGCAAAAAUGUGACAAUAUCGAACUCCCCCUUCCAACCUUCCUUGCAAGGAAGUGGAAGACUGCCUAGUUCCGCGUCAAAGCUCACCGAUGUCUGGCAGUCAGAAAAUGACUUCUGUACAUCAUUUGGUGGCUCAUCCGAUGACAACUCGGUAUGCUUCAGUGGAAAUGCAGUUUCAUUUAACACCACCAAGCCAUCACCCUCCCCUAAAGGGGUAUGUCUUGAGAGAAUUGGCAAUGGGUCGUACCUGAACAUGGCCCCUCACCCUGAUGGAUCCAACAGAGUUUUCUUGUCUAACCAAGCAGGAAAGAUAUGGCUGGCAAAUGUCCCAGAACAAGGGUCUGGUGGCACUCUACAGUUCGACGAGGUAAACCCAUUCCUUGAUCUGACUGACGAAGUGCAUUUGGAUUCUGAGUUUGGGCUCAUGGGCAUAGCAUUUCAUCCAAAGUUUGCUACCAACGGGCGCCUCUUUGUUUCCUAUAACUGUGAUAGAACUCAGUCGCCUAACUGCGCUGGUAGAUGUUCAUGUAAUUCUGAUGUUGACUGUGACCCUUCAAAGCUAGGCACCGAUAAUGGUGCGCAGCCAUGCCAGUACCAAGUUGUUGUUUCAGAGUAUUCUGCAAAAGUCUCCUCAUCAAAUGUUUCUGCGGCAACAUCUGCUAAUCCAUCAGAGGUUAGCAGGAUAUUUACAAUGGGGUUGCCGUAUACAGCUCAUCAUGCAGGACAAAUACUUUUUGGACCUACAGAUGGGUAUCUGUACUUUAUGAUGGGGGAUGGUGGAAACAAAGGCGACCCUUUCAAUUUCUCUCAGAACAAGAAGUCACUUUUGGGAAAAAUAAUGAGGCUUGAUGUUGACAAUGUACAAAGCCAGAAGCAAAUCGGUAACCAGACCUUGUGGGGCAACUAUUCGAUUCCAAAGGACAAUCCAUUUGCUCAAGACAGUGACUUGCAACCAGAGAUUUGGGCCUUGGGGUUUAGAAACCCGUGGAGAUGCAGUUUUGAUUCCGAGAGGCCUUCCUACUUCUACUGUGCAGAUGUUGGGCAGGAUGCAUAUGAAGAAGUAGAUUUGAUCUCCAAGGGCGGAAACUACGGAUGGCGCGCAUACGAGGGCCCAUACAUCUAUCAUCCAGAGUGGACGCCCGGAGGGAAUACAUCACUUAGUUCCAUAAAUGCCAUCUUCCCUGCCAUGGGCUACAACCAUUCUACUGUGAACAAGAACGUUGGGUCUGCAUCAAUCACAGGUGGAUAUGUGUACCGUGGGUCUACGGAUCCCUGCUUAUAUGGAAGGUACAUUUACGCCGAUCUAUACGCAUCGGCGAUGUGGACCGGCUUGGAGACCCCACCGAGCAGCGGGAACUACACGUCCACCCUGACGCCGUUCAGCUGCUCCAAGAACUCCCCGAUACCCUGCGAGUCCGCCGGCGGGGCCGGGGCCGGGGCCGCUCUCCCGUCGCUGGGCUACAUAUUCUCCUUCGGCGAGGACAACCGCAAGGACGUGUUCGUCCUGGCCAGCAAAGGCGUCUACCGGGUGGUCCGGCCCAGCCUGUGCGGCUACACCUGCGCCGCCGAGAAGCCGGCGACCGAUAAUGGAACUUCGCCGCCGCCUUCCGGCCCUCCGUCGUCCCUAGCCUCGGCGACGCGAGUAGGGACGCCGAUGGCCGUAGCCCUGGCGUCCGUUGUAUAUGCGCUGUACUUUUGA